UUGAUUACACAGCAGAUCUUUCCUCAAGUUAAUAAUUUCAACUUAACUGUGUUACUUUACUGAGGAAGAAAGGUGUUUGAUUCACACAAAACAGUAUCAGGAUAGAUAAGCAAUUGCUUCUCACCAUGGACUGCCACUACAAGGAAAGAACCCUUCCAAGAGAAAGAGUGCAGGAACCUAAAACAGUGAACUAAUAUGAUGUCAAUGAAAGCCUGAAAUGGCUGUGCAAGGUCUCCUGAAAUUGAAAGGCUGCAGAGGGAACACACCCCAUUAUCCAUAACACUGUUGUCCUAUGGGAGUAAGGACUGAGUUACUAUUUCAACUUCCUGAUAAUCUUUUAACUCCAGCUCAGCCCUAAAUUAUUUCCUUAUCAUCAGACAACUGCAGUUAUGAAGAACAGUGGUUACUGCAGGAG
rnacentral:lncRNA from 1 species